UAGACCUAAUAAUACAUGGACAGGCCUUCACGUGGUUUUCCCGUUCACCGCAUCGAGGAAUACCCACGAGAGAGAGGGGGGUGGUAGAAAAGAGAGAUAACAGCAGUCCCUGGUAGUAAACGUCAAGCUGGUAGCUGGUAGAGAAUAAUUCAACGUUGCCGCUUCAAACAAGUUAUCGAGUAAACUCGGGAAUUCUACCAGUCCGCUGAUCCUCCAUGUUGCAUUUUUGGGUGGUUGUCGGUUCUCCAUCAGGUGGUUUAGUUGCUCUUCUCUGGCACUCCUGGCAGUAAUAUUUUACUGCUCCUGUUUCUUUAUUGUGUGGCUUUCCAGUGUUAGAUUUCUGUGACACUGAUCAACAGAAAAUAUCGAGUUUUGAGUUUGCCGAUGUCACAGGGCUUACUGAAUAUCAACAUGAUUUACAUCUCUUCUCUUUCUAAUAUUGAAUCCAGAUUGGGAUUAAGUAUUUUCUUCGGACAUGCCUUGAAAUAGAAUGUGAUGGUACAUAUGUAACUACUUCGUUUAGAACAACAUUCUUUAUAAUAUUCAAAAAUAUAUCUACUAUCUCGAAAUUCAAGUCACCUCUACAAAUUCUUGCUGUGGCCUUGUGAAAUAUAGAAAACAGACUAGGUAUAUUCCUUGUAAAUCUUUGUAAAUCAUGUCCUAUAUGUACAUACAUGAAAUAACAAAGAAACUCCUUUA